UUACAAAGCAGAAGAAGAAACACAUGAAUCAGCUCAUAAUGAUUUCAAGACAUGCUUUCCAAGAGGUUUUGCAUGGGAAGUUAUUGAAGUUUAUUCACCUCCUCCUUUGAUUGCUUUCAAGUUUAGGCAUUGGGGUUUCUUUGAAGGACCUUACAAAUCCUAUUCCCCAACUGGUGAAUUGGUUCAAUUCUAUGGCAUGGCCACUCUCAAGGUACUAAUAAUUAUACUUCAAUUCUUUAAGCCCCUUUAAUUUGCUAACUAUUUUGGUUUUGUCUACAAAUAAGUUUAAUUAACGGUUUAAAUUUUUAACGAUGAUCGUAUAUUUCGAGAGACGUACAGGUAGAUUCAUCAAUGAAGGUUGAAGAAGUUCAUAUCUUCUAUGAUCCAACAGAGCUAUUUGGAGGUAUUUUAAAGGGUAAAAAAAGUAUUAUGGAUUCUGAAUUAUCCAAAAUAAGUGAUUCUUCAUCUGCUUCUGCUUGCCCACUCUUCAAUACUAAGAAGUAGUUUCAAUAAACAAAAAUAAUGUAACUAUUGAACUCAAAUAUGUCAUGUGAAAUUAUUGUGUGUAUUUUUCAAUAAAUCUCUGUCCAUAUACAUGAAUGGAAGGGACCUAAACUUUUACUUUCUAUUAAAUAUAUGUGUGUAUGGCUUCUAGCCAUUUUAGUAUGUAUUAUGUUUGAUAUAAAGUGGUACAAAAUGAAACUUUUUUUUCUUUUUCUUUUUUUAAAGGAAAUCAGUGCAAGAUAAACUAAACUAAGAACAAAACAUGUUAGAAAGAAAUUAAGAAGGUUGAAUUCACCUAUAAAGAAAUAUUUUUAAUUAAGCUAGAUUUUCAAAUGGCACUCUCCCAGUGUGGAUUGCUAACUCAUGUGCAACUCGAUUACAAAGGCGAUUAACCAAAAGAAAAUCGUGAUCUAAUCCUCGUUGGUGAACAUUAGUACAAAUAUAAUCAACAAACACCUGAAUCUCAUUAACAUAUGUGACUAAUUCUUCUAGCCAAAAGCUUCCGUAAGAUUUGAGUAUCAGUUCCAGCCUGGAGGAGAUGCCAACUUUAAUAGUUCUAAACAGGCCUUCAAGUUAAACAUGACUAUUGCCUCAACAAGCAAAACUAACUUGUGAAAGGAAAGUGGCUCUCCAUAGAAAGCAAAAUAUCAUCCUUAGAGUCACGAACAAAUAACAAUGCUUCUGAUUUUCACCUCACUAUUUAGGACAACUGCAUCAUUAUUCAUGUUGGAUGAGCCAUGGAGAGAGGCAAACCAACGACUAACAUCCAUUGAAGAUAAAGUAGAAUUAAGAACCUAAGGAAAGGCAAGUUGACGAUCAAGAGAUUCUACUACGUUCAUUACCCAUCUAACAGGGUCAAACUUGAAAAGGAUGUGUUGGUCGAAGACAAGAAGUAGGUUGGGUCGAUGCCAAAUUGAAGGAAGUGAUGACCAAGGACUUACUCUGUCAAGCUAUCUUCUCAUCUGAUGAUGUUUCAUUUUAGGACUUGAGAUCGGGGAGGAUGAUGGCACUGCCCGGUGUUGUAAUGAUGGAACUUGAGAUAUACACAACGGAAUAAGGAUUUAAAAACAAUUUAAUUGCGCCUAAUUUAAUAUAGAUUAAUAUGCAUGAACCACUAAAUUACAUAGUUAGUUUAUAAAAAUUAUACCUUUGUAGCUCUCGAGUACUUGCAAAUUAUGUUCAAAAUUGACAUAAAACCGUCACUAGAAUUUACUCGCUAUCCUCUGAACUCACAUCGGGUUGUGAGACUCGAUGAGUGAAGAAUUGAACAAAGAAAGAGAAUGUAUUUGGAGGAUAAUCAAAAACUUCUAACAGAUGAGAGUUGUAAUGUUUUUCUUUAGUGAAACUAAGUGAAAAAAUCCAACAACAAAAAAAUAAUUUAAUUUCUUAAAGUCCAAUUUUUAUAAAGAAAUUACAUACAAAUGUUGGAUUUUUAAUGGAUGUAGUUAUUCUCCAAAGCCCACACCCCCAUUAAGCACUAUCUUAUAGUUAGCUAGGUGUAAAUACCACAUGCAUCCACUAAUUCCCACUAGAGGUAGUGGAACUAUCCAACAAAAUAUUUUAUUAUUCUACUAACUUUAGUCAAAUAGUAAAAUGGUCAUUUCACAAUUUAGUCAAAGUCAAACUCUGACUUUUCAAAGCUGACUUGUUACCAUUUUGUUCUUCUUGGUUAAUUUCGACCUCUCAAACAUGAAUCUGCAUUCGUUUUUUCAAAAUACAAAUCACACUUGAAUAUAGAGUAAGUGCAAGUUUAAUUUUUCAAAAUCAAAAGUUAGUUGUUUGACUUUUUACAACUUUGACAAUUUCCAUCAUUUUCAAGCUUUCGAAUAUGAAUCUAUAUUCAUAUUCUUGAUAUUCAACUCAUAUUAAAACAAAGCUUUAUCUUUUAACUAAUAACCGACAACUAUAUCAUAUAUACUUAUUGGUUUUACUCUCCUUUCUUAAUUUAAAUAAUUUAAAUUAAUCCAACAUACUGUUCUAAGUUUAUUCUAUAUGAACUAUCAGAGGAACCUAGUAGACCUACAGAUCAUGAGAUCCAACUAUUUGAGAUUAACUGGCUAAACUUUUGAAAUCGAGUUAAUCAAUAUUCGUUAACUAACGAGUCAUUUCACUGAAGUCUCGUAGUUGCACUAUUCUCACUAUAGAUAUAGUUGUGUCCAUCUCAUAUAACCAUUAUUAGUAAGUCAAUCCUUCACCAGUUGCUCGUAAUCUCAAUUGGGUCAAAAUAUUAUUUUACCCCAAGAUCACAUCAUAUUUCUUAAGUCCCACCGAUCCUCUAAUAAACAAUUGGUUUAAGGUCCAACCUAUAAACAAAAUCCCUCUCAAACCAAUGAGAUGGUACAACCCCUUGUUCAUGUCAUUUCAAAAACCAUAAACAAAAUAUGGUUAAGCUUUUUUUGUUAAAAUUACUUAACAAUAGUUUUCUAUUAUUAGUAAGCUUUUUUGUUUUUGUAUAAAUGGUUGAGUUGUAAAAAGAAGAGUAAGAGCAAAACAGAAAAAGGUAGAUUAUCGUACCUCAAUAAUAAGGGUUCAUCUUGUUUUGGGGGUUCUUUCAAUGAAUAAUAUCAAUGGCUGAUUUCACAUUGGAUGUAGGCAUUUUAUGUGUCGAACACUUAAUCUUGAGUACCCUCUUCUCUCUUUAUCUCUACACCUAAUAUCUUGAUUUCGAUUAUGAGUUCUUGAUGUGUUGAAAGGGAGUUCAAGGUGAGUCUUUUGCAUUAGUUGCAUGCUGAAAGUGAUUUUUUCCAUCCAAUUUUGGUAAAGUUAAUACUUCUAGUUGUAUUCAAAACUUUAUGCCAUGUGUCUUUCAUGCUAGCUUCCUCUUGCUCCAUUGAAAAUCUUUAGUUUGUGAGUUUUCAUUAUCCACCUCGAUAGUCGACAUUAGAAGUUUGCUUCUCCCACUAUACAUAUUGUCAUGGAAAAAUGGAAGAGUGUAUAUGUAAAUAUGUAAAGUUGUAUAUACACAUAAACCAUAAACUUAAUACAAAACUCAUUGAAAAUAUGCACAUCUCAAUAUUUUUCUUUUUUGAUCUUUUUUAAAACUUAUUUAUCAUUAUUAAAAUGUUUAAACUAUAUAUACAACAUCUCGAUAUUUAUUUGACAUUAAAAAUAACAUUUUAUCUCUUGAAAUAUAUCAAACAACAUUUUAAGUUUAACUAGGCACAAUAUUAAUUUAUGAAUAAAAAGUGUUCAUUUGAAACGUCGAGCAUGGUUUGAUGAAAAAGACAUCAACUAUCAUUUCAAACAUAAAUAUCCAUAUAACAAUGGUUGGAACAACAAAAUAAUAAAUAAAGCUAUGGAUGGAAAGUGACAUACAAGAGUGGACCAAGUUAUAUGUUAAGAAUUCAUAGAAAUUUGAAAAGUAAUAAUAAAGAAGAGAGAGGUUUUAAAAAAAGAAACGUCAAAAUGAAAAUAAAUGGAAGAGGGGAAGGUGUCACAUUAUCCACCUAUAAAACCACAUGUAACUGACUACUCUUUACGCAACACAACCACACACACACACACAGUAGUGUUUAGUUGAAGGAUAAUUAAUCCCAUCAAAAUUCAAAAACAUGGCCACUGAGGGAACUUCAACAACAAUCCUUCCUGAUCUUCCUGAUAAAUACAGAGUUUUCUUGCAUUUGGAGCCUCCAUCUAUUAGUUGGAGGCAUGGUAAACCCCCAACUUAUGGAAUUGUUAACCAGCUUUUUGAAGAGGGAAGAACCAAGGUUUUUUCUUUUCUCACUUUUUCCUUUUCUUUCUCUCUAGAUCUCAUUCACACUUCCCAAACAAACGGAUUUUGUUAGUGCUUCUACUUCCAUAUAUAUUGACUCUCUUUUAUCUUUAUAGAUCUAUCUAGUUAAGAUGUUGCUUGGACAUGGUUGAGUUAUGAAGUCUAGAAUUUUUUAGUAUAUGAAGUUAACAAGUCUGUUUUUGUGGUAUAUAGUCUAAGAUCUAAUUUUCAGUUGCAUGUUUAUUUAUUUAUUUUGUUACUUAUUUGUAUAGAGAUAUAUUUGAACAAACUUCCAAAUGAUCUAAUGGAAACAAAGUUGGGUGGGGUUUAUCAGUUCCCUUUCAUCUCAAUCAAUUUCUCCCUCAAGUUUCAUAUUUUUAUCUGUUACUCAGUUUUGUUUGUGGUAGGAAUGGCCAAAAGGAUCCUUAGAAGAAAUAGUUCAAAAUGCUGUCAAAUCAUGGGAAAUGGAGCUUUCCCACAAGAUUAAAUUACAGGAUUUCAACACCAUAAAUCCUCACAAGUUCAAGCUUUUUGUUAAUGGUAACUACUUUAAUUUUCUUAUACACACACACACACACAUAUAUAUAUAGCAUGUAAUUAAAUUGGAGAGAGAGAAAGGAAAAAAACAAACACUGAAUAACUGGCAGUUACAUGCACAUAUUCAAAGUAAAAAGGCUUUUUCAACUAACCAGCAAACUUAAAAGAGAUGGGACCAUGGGUAUUCAUAGAAAUACAAGUUUCACUUUUCAGAAAAACAAUUUUGAACAAAGUCAAGUGGGUGACAUAAGUCGAUGAUAAAAUUUUUAUCCAAGUUCAUUUUUCCUACAAAAAGUGCUUUGAAGAUCAUUUUAUCAUUCAUAUAGAACAAGGUCCACAAACCUGUUGAUAAUGAUGGGUGGAUGCUGGAUAUUGAAUCCCAUUUUAAAAUAACCUGUAUCAAAGAGUUUCUUUUGGAUAUUCAUGAACGUUUAGCCUAGUUUGUACAUGCAAUUGCCUGGCCUCAACUCAACAUUGUAACAAUUUCUAAAUCAUGUCUGCUAAAACAUGUCAUUUUUGUCAUAUAUGUACCUAUUUAGUAUUGAUAACAAGAAGAGUUUGAUGCAUGUAUGACAAAUGUUGAUUCUGUUUUCAAGUAUUCAAUACGUGUCUGUCAUGGACACGCUGGUCAAACUAAAAUUGUCUGUAUGUGUGGUUGUUUGAUAUAAACUGAGCUUUGUGUCUGACAUACAGGAAGAGAAGGGCUUUCAGGAGAAGAAACACUGAGAAUUGGAAGCUACAAUGCAUUCCUAAAGAGUCCGUUACCAGAGGAAUUUCAAUAUUACAAAGCAGAGGAAGAGACAUUUGAAUCAUCUCACGAUGCAUUUAGGUCUUGUUUUCCAAGAGGAUUUGCAUGGGAAGUUAUUGAAGUUUAUUCACCUCCUCCUUUGAUUGCCUUCAAGUUUAGGCAUUGGGGUUUUUUUGAAGGACCUUUCAAAUCACAUUCCCCAACUGGUGAAUUGGUUCAAUUCUCUGGCUUGGCAACUCUCAAGGUAAUUAAACUUGUCUAUAUGAUUCUCCAAACAUUUGGGUUUCUUAUGUUGUUG
rnacentral:lncRNA from 1 species